CUGCUGCCUCCCGUAGGAGUUUGGGCCGUGUCUCAGUCCCAAUGUGGCCGGUCACCCUCUCAGGUCGGCUACUGAUCGUUGCCUUGGUGAGCCGUUACCUCUCCAACUAGCUAAUCAGACGCGGGUCCAUCUCAUACCACCUCAGUUUUUCACACCAAACCAUGCGGUUUUGUGCGCUUAUGCGGUAUUAGCAGUCAUUUCUAACUGUUAUCCCCCUGUAUGAGGCAGGUUACCCACGCGUUACUCACCCGU
rnacentral:rRNA from 1 species